GAGCUGUUAGCUCAGUUGGUAGAGCACCGGACUUUUAAUCCGGGUGUCCCGGGUUCGAGUCCCGGACGGCUCACCA
rnacentral:tRNA from 1 species